UACAGAGGGUGCGAGCGUUGUUCGGAAUUAUUGGGCGUAAAGCGCUUGUAGGCGGCACGUCAAGUCGCGUGUGAAAUCCCCAGGCUUAACCUGGGAAGUGCGCGCGAAACUGACGAGCUUGAGUGCCGGAGAGGGUCGCGGAAUUCCCGGUGUAGAGGUGAAAUUCGUAGAUAUUGGGAAGAACACCGGUGGCGAAGGCGGCGACCUGGUCCGGGACUGACGCUGAGGCGCGAAAGCGUGGGGAGCAAACAGG
rnacentral:rRNA from 1 species